rnacentral:hammerhead_ribozyme from 1 species
AUCCAGCUGACCAGUCCCAAAUAGGAGGAAACUCGCGUUCUACUGCAU